rnacentral:rRNA from 1 species
CGCGUGAGAAUCUGCCUUCAGGUCNGGGACAACAGAAGGAAACUUCUGCUAAUCCCGGAUGAGCCUUAGGGUAAAAGAGAAAUNUGCCUGAARAUGAGCUCGCGUCUGAUUAGCUAGUUGGUGGGGUAAAAGCUUACCAAGGCAACGAUCAGUAGCUGGUCUGAGAGGAUGAGCAGCCACACUGGGACUGAGACACGGCCCAGACUCCUACGGGAGGCAGCAGUGGGGAAUUUUCCGCAAUGGGCGAAAGCCUGACGGAGCAAGACCGCGUGGGGGAGGANAGGCUCUAGGGUUGUAAACCCCUUUUCUUUGGGAAGAAGUUCNUGACGGUACCAAAGGAAUCAGCCUCGGCUAACUCCGUGCCAGCAGCCGCGGUAAUACGGAGGAGGCAAGCGUUAUCCGGAAUGAUUGGGCGUAAAGCGUCCGCAGGUGGCCAUGUAAGUCUGCUGUCAAAACCCAGGGCUCAACUCUGGUCAGGCAGUGGAAACUACAAAGCUAGAGUCUGGUAGGGGCAAAGGGAAUUCCCGGCGUAGCGGUGAAAUGCGUAGAUUUCGGGAAGAACAUCGGUGGCGAAAGCGCUUNGCUAGACCAGAACUGACACUCAGGGACGAAAGCUAGGGGAGCGAANGGGA